rnacentral:misc_RNA from 1 species
GUCUUUGAUUGGAAGAUUUGAAGACAAGGAGGAGGAACUUUCAGGUUGUAAGGUUGUUUCUGAUCUAUCUUGGGUUCGCAUCAGGACUUGCUCUACCAUGUCCUCAUCGGUGCUGGCUCUGCUCGACCAGCACUCUAAGGCCGCAGCCAUGGUUCGGUGGAGGNNNNNNNNNGUGAGGAGUUAAGCAGCAGUGAGGUUAAAGCUUAACUAAAAAAGCAAAUGGUCUCUGCUUCAGAUUUCUGGUUUUGGCCAUUUUUAUUUUUCUCUCCUG